rnacentral:lncRNA from 1 species
AUAUUUAAGGCAGGUGGCCAUUUUAAAAUGUACGUUUCAAUUUUGAUUGCAGUUUUUUAAUUGCAUUUAACAGCGUCCCUGCUGGUUCUCCAUUCUGCAUCCGUGCAGCCACGUUCUAUUGAUGGCCUGUUGUGAUUUCAAUGGAACAUCAUGGGAUGUACCUGGCACGUCGGGCAGCACUGGAUGGAGGUGCCUUUAGCCCAAUGUACCUGGCAUGGAGCUGGUAGCAGUUGAGCAUGUAUUGCCCAUGUUCCCAAUGUCCAGACGUUGCCGCACAGAGGUGGUAAGGUGAAGGU